AAAAGAAGAUUCAGGAGGAUUCUGAUUCAGAAUCUGAAUCAAAUAAUGAGUAAUGUUCUGAAAUUAUUACUGCUUUUCUUUGGGUUUAUUAUCAAGAUUUCAUGUAUUAACAGAGCGUCUCUUAUUAACUUUUAGAAGCGAAGAAUCAUCACCAGUAGAGAAGCAAAAAACAAAGAAAAAGACUCAGAGAACACCACAAAAGACACAAUCCAAAAAGAAAAAGAUCUGAAAUUGGAACUGAAGAAUUAGA